rnacentral:rRNA from 1 species
UUAUUGAAAAUGUUAAUUUUUAACUGUGAUUAUUAUUAGUUAUGUUCUUUAAAAUUAAAAAAUUUGGCGGUAUUUUAGUCUAUUCAGAGGAACCUGUUUCUUAAUCGAUAGUCCACGAUGAUUUUUACUUUUGCUUUAAAUUUAUAUAUCAUCGUUUAUAAAAAUUUUAGGAGAAUUAUAAUUUUUAGGAUUUUUUAUUUGAAAGUAAUUCAGAUCAAGGUGUAGUUUAUGUGGAAGAUGGAAUGGGUUACAUUAUAUAUAUAUGUGGUUUUUAUUUUUUGAAUUUAAAAUAAAUUGGAUUUGAUAGUAAAGGUCUUAUCUUUGGGUUUUGAUUUAGCUCUAAAAUAUGC